rnacentral:lncRNA from 1 species
UUAAGUUUAGUUUGCAAACACAAUGCUAAUUGAUGCUUGUUUUAAUUUUUGGUUUUUGAAAAAGGAGUUAUCAAGACGAGUUUAACCUAACUGACCAAGUGUCAAAGUUUUUGUUACAGUGUGCAGUUUACCUCUGUGGAUUCUCCUUGCAGUGAGGAAUGUAUUCUAAGUUCACUAUGGUUUCCAUGGCUAAGAUCAGGUUUUACCAUGAUUGGACCUGUUACCCUCUAAUGGAAUAUAUCAAAAUAUAAAAAUAUAUUUGAACCUUAAGAAGAGCCAGCAUAAGUGUCAGAGAGGAUAUAUUUAAUCACGUGUGUGGUUUGAGAGAUCAGUGAGAGAUCAAGUUCAUGUUUGUUUCCUGUUAGUUCUGCAACAAGUGCUUUUUGUGGUUAUAAUAUAUUUUUUCUGAGAGAAGGUUUUUGUGGAAAUAACCAUUUCUUGCAUCCAAUUCUCUAAAAUGAUGGUUUAUUAUACCAGCUGCCCUUCGGCCUAAUGUUGUGUAGACUAAAAUCAACAAUGUUUAAAGAAAAAUUCAAAUUGUUCCAAAUAAACUUAGAUAGAAUUAUUGGCUAUUCUUGUUGAAAUAUAUAAGUAAUAAAAAGUUAUGACCUAUUGAUUUAAAGUAGAGAUAAAGUUAUAACACCUAAUUAUUUAUUUUUCGGAAUGAUGUUGAAUCUAGAAUCUAAUACCUGAAACGUCAAGUGAUUACAAUAAAAACAUAAACAAACGUAAUAAGCAUACUUUUAUGUUACUGACGCAUUCCAUAUGAAGAUGGAAAAAAAUGUUGUCGUGUUUUAUUUAACUUGUUAUCGUUAG